GCAUAUAUGUAUAUGUGUUAGUGAUGUGAAUAUAUGAGUUUACAAGUUGGAUUUAUUGUAUAAUGCAGAGGUCACAAAAUAAUAAAACGGACUGUUUACAUUAAUAAAUUACGGCAACCGAAUAUUGAAUGGAACUAGAACAAUUAAGUUUAUAUAUAUUAAUAUAUUGCAGUUUUACAUUUUUAUCAACGAUGUUUUCUGGUUAAAUGAAAAAGUUUGUAUAAGAGCAACAUUAUCAGUUACAACCUCUACCAGUUUCUAAAAUAAAACAAAAUAAUAUUAUUAUAAGAAUAUUUGAUAAUGUUUAAUUUUUCAAAACCAAUUAAAAGCUUAGUUAAGUGACAUAUGUCGUUUAGAGUUUAGGACCGGUUUUUUAAAAAAUUUCAUUAAUUUUUUUUCUCUCUAAUUUUAAUUUUUUAAUUAUUAAGAAUCCCCUAUAUAACACUUGUCAUUGGAACUACUCUAAACUAUUUAUUUACUACAGUGUUCUAUUAAUGAGAAUAAAAAUGUUUUAAGAAAUACUAGCUGAGAUCUAUCUGAGUUCUAAAAAAUCAGUACAAAAAACAUAUUGGUACAUUUCUUUUUAUUUAGAUUUUUCAAUACCAACUAAUUGUGUUUAUAUUCUUUAACCUCUUUCCACAUGUAAAUGACGCUGCAAAUCUCGCCGCUCACGUCAAAAACCACUAAAAUGCUGACGGGAUUUUUAUUUCCUUUUCGACCAAACUACUUGUUCAGUUGAUAUUAUUUAUACUGAUUAUAUAAUUGAAUAAGAAAAAGGACCUACAUGUAUUAUAGUAGUAAUUAAUGGAGGAAUGGCUUUCUAUAAUUUUAAAAUGAUAGAUGCAAGUGAAUAUGCCAAAAAAGCAGUGGCCAUAUAAGAGGUGGACGGGGUUCAAAUGUGAGCCUCUUUCAUCAGUCGAAAGGUCAUUGGAUAACAAUAGUGCCUUCUAUAAUACAUAAAUUAGUCUUACGCCUCGUUUUUUUUUUUUCACUAUUAUUUUAUUAAGUAGAAAAUAUAAGAACAUACAAGUCCAAAAACAAGGUCAUUUAAAAACCAUACAAGCCCAUACGGCAAACAUAAAAGAUCAGAGACCAAAACAAUGGCCCACUUAAAACCCAAAAAAGAACAGAGGAAGAAAAGGUAACAGGUCACAUCAACGUGUUCACCGCACAAGAACGGAGCGACACGUAUUGAAAGCACUUCACUGUCUUCACCGACCAAGACGUCGCCGAAACUAAACGGCAAUCUCCGGAAAACACCGGGAAACAGGCUCACUAACAACACACCAACCAACUUCAACGCAAAUUCUUUCCUCGCUUGAUUUCUAUUCCAUGGAGAGAAUCAAUCGACCUAUUCGAGAUCUCAUCCAUCAUCCUAAGCCAUAAACACGAGGAGAACUUUACCCAUAUCAGACUCACUAUGCAGAGGAGAUCAUCAAUCUACCCCAAGAUCUCAUCCACAAAACCACAAAACCCUUGUGCUCGUUUUUCAAAGAGCUUCAAUCGAUCUAAAUCGAGAUCUUUUCCAGGAGCCGAACCACCAAACACAAGGCAGAAUUUUCUAUCGCUUCAGAUUUGAACCGUAAACCAUCGGACCCACCAACCAUGUUAAACCACACUAACGCUCUCGGAAAUAACUCCGGGAGAGAAGUCGCCGUCAGCACGAAGGAACAGUGCAACGCAGAGCCAUAUACCGACCGUUCACCUUCAACGAAUAGGUGCAGCGUCGGAGCCAAAAGCCGACCAACCACUGAGGAAAGUGCUUCGCCGGAAGAGCCCAAUCAAGGGCAGAGUUUUACUGGUUUCAUCUCAUCACUUCUCUCUGUAAAAGAUACGUGAGAGAGAACAGAGAAGAAGGAGAGAGAACCCUUUCUUACGCCUCGUUAUUUUGAGUUCGUUUAAUAUGUAAUAACCAGAGAUUUGUACUUUUGUCUCCGUUAUAUUUUGUAAGUUGUCGCCUUCACAUGCAUACACAUGUCCCAUGUUUCAAAUCGUGAACACCAAUUAAAAUAAAAUAUAUUAUCAGAUAAUAUAGACAUAUUUUUGGCAUAAACCUAAAAUUUGUUGUCCUCCCUCAGUGAGGAACGAAUCUUCGAUUGCUGGUUCAAAAGGUCAAUUAAUUGUUCUUCACGCAUCAUAACUUUUUUUUUUGCUUUUGUCGUAUAUAGUUUACAAAGUAAUUCACUGCCGUAGACCGAAAGAAGAAUUAAUUAUGAAUAUUAUAGGAUUGGCACUAAUUUGGGUAAAGCAGAGAGGUGGAUCCCAAAGCAGAGAAGGCCAAGUCUUUGGGUUUGUACCUUCAAACCCAUAUCAAUCAAAAUACUGUUCAAUAAUAAGCUCUCAAUUUGACCAAAAAAAAAAACUCUCAGUUAUCUAAAUACUGAGUUCACUCGCAAAAAAAAAAAUACUGUUCAAUAACAAACUCUCAGUUAUCUAGAUUCAAGUUCACUCGCAAAAAGAAAAGUCUAGCCGCAGUAAACAGAAAGAGAAAAUAGAAUUUAUGUAGUGCCUUGCAAGGUCGUAAACCAAGGUAUUAAAAUAAGCAAGCUAACUUUCAUAUUUAGAGCUUGAUUGGGAGGCGGACAAAAAGCGGAUGAGACACUCAAGCGUACGGCCCACCCUUAGCUUCUCCAUUCAACAGUUUUUGUAAAUAAAAAUUUGAUCUGCUUUGUUUAUUAUUAUUAUACUAUUAGACUGCAUGCAGUCUAAUUUUAUGAUGAAAAUAUACAUUCUAAUCAGAAAUUAUCUAUAUACCAAGGACGUAAAAUACAAAAACGGAUAGCAUAGCCCACAGUGUCAGGAAGCAACCGUCUUUCACCGUUCACAUGGAUCAAGAUCUACCGGUUUGGUUCACAGAGUCAGUAUCAAUAUGUAUAAGUUAAUGACAAAAAAAAAAGACACAUCCUAAUAUAUUUUAACUUCUUUUAAACCAAUACAACUAUUGCAAUGAAAAAACAUAUUGUUAAGCUGAAAAUA